UCUCAUCUUAAGCGUUGAGCCUAACAAUCUAUAUUCUGAAUUCUCUUUCUGGACGGAGCGAUGAGUGCGGCGUUUUCCGCCACUCCUUCCGCCGCGCAAGUCCUCUCUCUGUUCCGCUCCCUCUUACGCGUCGCGCGCGAGUUUCCCGAUUAUACAUCAGGGAAUACACCAAACGCCGCACCAUCGAUGCGUUUCGUGAAAACGCCACCCUCUCCGACGCUUCUUCCAUUUCCUCCGCCUUCUCCCGUGGCGAGUCUCAGCUCGCGCUCGUUAAACGACAGGCCUUCGUGCACUCUCUCUACGCCCCUCCGCUUCGCAGCGUCAUGGAACUCCAACAACCCUCCUUAUAGUCGCGGUUCUGAGUAUGACUCUGUUGAGCAGAGGACAAAUUGGAAAUGUGUGUUUCCUUACUCUGCUUUCGCUUAUCGUGAAACUCUCAACGAUGUGAAAUCGUUUUGAGCUUUCAUCUUUCUCUAGGAAAGUCAACUGUCAUCUUUUUAGGACAAGUUUAUGUAUUUUUUUUUUUUUUUUUAAAGUUGAGUGGCACUCCCUAAUAAUUGGCAAAACCGGUUUUAAUUUGUUAGAAUGAGUUUUUUAAUUGGAUGACAUGUAAAUUUGACGUUUUGUUUGAUUUUUUAUAUGACAUGUAAAGGUAGGUUAUUCUGGUAUUGGCUUUUACAUUGAACUAGCAAAAACACUAUGAAAGAUUCCCAUAUUCCGUUUGACUUUAGUUAAGCCUGUAAUCAUUUAUUUCACGGCCAAUGGAUAUAUUAUGUAUGUAUGCAUGUAUGUUAGCCUGAUGUUUCUUUUAGGUAGGAACUUGUGUAGUUCUUGUUCAGAGAAGUAAUCCUGUGGUUUUCAUACAAUGUGAGUCUGAUUAGUAGAAAAAUCAAAGGGAGAAAUUGCUAUCCCUAUGUUUUACUCUAGUCUAUUCUCCGCGCAAAACCUAUAACAGAACUAGAGACUCCAACAGAAUUAGCUAGGCUUCUUGUUGUUAUAAGGCUGUUUUUGUUAUGUGAGGCUUCCGUACUAUUGUUUUAUAUAAUUAGUGUAUCAAUCUCUGGAUAAAUUUGUGGAAACUCAAAUUAAAAAGUUUAAAAUACUAGCUUUAACUAGAAAUGUCUGGUAUCUGAUUAAUUAAAUAAUUUUUGAAAAAGAAAUAGGAGGGUAAAAAGAUAGAGAAGUAUAUUGAGUCGAAAAAGAUCUAAAUAUCAGGUGUUGUUGAAGAUAUUGUUGGGAGAGGUUGAGGAAUCAGAGGCCAGGGAUAGAGGAUCACGCCAAAAGGAUGGAGGCAGUUACUAUUUUGAAAACCAAACCCACUUGCCGGUUAGAUUGGAAAACUGGUCAACUGGCCAAGUGAUUGGUUCUAAUACCAUUAAAGCAGUUUAGGGUUUAGGGUAGAAAGAAAGGUUGACGAAUCGAAUGGGGGAGGAACACAAUAGCAGUGUUGGAUAUAGGUUCUAACAAGACCUUGAUUGUUGUGAUUCUUAUGAAAGAGAUUAAAAAUUUCAGAUUGACUAGUGAUAAGGUCGAGCAAAGUAUACAAGUGUUGAAUUUUUUAAUUGCUGAUUGACAAGAUGAACUGUGGUAUCCAAGUAAACAAUCAGCUUCUUUAUACCACUAGUCUUGAUGACUUGACCAACCUCUUUUAUAAGCAUUAUAGCAAUCAAGGUCUUGCCAGAGCCUGUAUCCAACAUUGCUUUCGUGUUCUUUCGCUCUGCAACUUCAAACACCUCUAUUUGAUACCAUCCGGAGGGAGUUCAAGUAAUCAAGUUGGAAAAUGUGGAUUCUAGACAUGUAGAAUCAUCAAAUCUUGGAGUUUUCGUGUUUUUUAUUCUGGUCAUUGUUAUGGCAUGAUGAAUCAUCCAUGUCGAAAUUCAUGCUCAUACUAGGACCAAAAUAAUAAAUGAAAGCUUCAAUAUGUUGAUGAUUUUCUAUGCCUGAAAUCAGCAUUUUCCAUCUUAUCCUAAGAGGUUUCAGAUAGAAGGUAUUUUUGAAGUUGCAAGGGGAGGAACACAAUAGCAAUGUUGGAUAUUGAAUUUGACUAGACCUUGAUUGUUGUGAUGCUUAUGAAAGAGGUUGGUCAUGCCACUAAGACUAGUGAUGUUCAAGAAUUUGAUUAUUUACUUAGCUCCCAUAAUUCAUCUUGGUAAUCAACAAUUCAAAAAUACAAAACUAACUUGUAUAAUGAGAAUUGUAUUCCUUCUCCUUGCAACUUCAAAAACACCUCUAUCUAAUAUCUUCUUGGUUUUCAUUUAUUACUUUAGUCCUAGUAUGAGCAUGGAUUUCAACAUGGAUCAUUCAUCAUACCAUAUUUGGGACCAAAGUAAAAACAUGUAAGCUCCAAGAUUUGAUGAUUCUCCAUACCGGAAAUUGCUAUUUCCAACUUUAACUCCAUCAGGUCUCAAAUAGAGGUGUUUUUGAAGUUGCUAGGGGAGGAACAGAAAACAAUGUUGUAGAGGCUCUGGAAAGACCUUAAUUGUUGUGAGCUUAUGAAAGAGGUUGGUCAAGCCAUCAAGACUAGUAUGCAAAGAAUGAUAAGGAAUUCAAGGAUACUAACCCCAAAUAUUUCAGCAAUCAAACAUAUGCUUAUCUAAAAUCGUGUUUUUUCGGGGAUAUGGAUCCUCUAUAUAGUUGAAAGAAAACCAUGGAGUGUAGAAGAUCCUAAUCCCUCUUUUCGGCUAUUCGCCUUCGGCCACUUAAGUGUCGAAUACAUCCGACCAUAUGAUAUGAGCACCAACAAUUGGCGAUCCAAAGGCAACCUUUCCAAAAUUUUAGAAUCACCUUCAGUUUUAGAAGGAAUUUUAAGGGUUUGCAUGGUAGAUGCAUCCCAAUCAAGGGUUUUUAGAUUCAUCAACGUAAGUAAUCUAUGUGCUUCAUAUACAACUCCGACGAAAUUUGUUCCCAUUUGGUAAAGUACGAGAGAAGCUCUCUCUUUGGUUGACUAUGAGAGUAGGAUACUAGCAUGUAACCAACUCAAAUGAAGAUAAUAGGGUCUCUUUCUCUCAUUGCCAAAAUCAACAAAUAAUUUUGUUAAAGAAAUAGCAAGAAAUGCAAGACUUGUGUGACCAAAAUUGCAUUUUCUAGAUAAAUAAAAUCAUUGUAGCUUGGUUUAUGUUUUUAA